AAGACAAUGACAGUGUUUUAAAUACCGUUCUCUGCUAUAUUAUAUACUGGGCUUAUAAUUCAGGGGACUUAUAUUCAGGGGAGGCUUAUAUUUGGAAUGAGGUGAGCAUUAUAUUCAGAGGUUUACAGUAUACAGUUGAAAAAAGCUUGUAUUUUCUUGUCAUAGACACACAUUUCUGUGUGCAUAUAGAACAGCUUAUACGUUGGGUUCUCAUGUCGAUCCAAUGGUAAUUUGAUAUCGCUGCCA